rnacentral:rRNA from 1 species
CGAGCGAACAGACGAGGAGCUUGCUCCUCUGACGUUAGCGGCGGACGGGUGAGUAACACGUGGAUAACCUACCUAUAAGACUGGGAUAACUUCGGGAAACCGGAGCUAAUACCGGAUAAUAUAUUGAACCGCAUGGUUCAAUAGUGAAAGACGGUUUUGCUGUCACUUAUAGAUGGAUCCGCGCCGCAUUAGCCUAGUUGGUAAGGUAACGGCUUACCAAGGCAACGAUGCGUAGCCGACCUGAGAGGGUGAUCGGCCACACUGGAACUGAGACACGGUCCAGACUCCUACGGGAGGCAGCAGUAGGGAAUCUUCCGCAAUGGGCGAAAGCCUGACGGAGCAACGCCGCGUGAGUGAUGAAGGUCUUCGGAUCGUAAAACUCUGUUAUUAGGGAAGAACAAAUGUGUAAGUAACUAUGCACGUCUUGACGGUACCUAAUCAGAAAGCCACGGCUAACUACGUGCCAGCAGCCGCGGUAAUACGUAGGUGGCAAGCGUUAUCCGGAAUUAUUGGGCGUAAAGCGCGCGUAGGCGGUUUUUUAAGCCUGAUGUGAAAGCCCACGGCUCAACCGUGGAGGGUCAUUGGAAACUGGAAAACUUGAGUGCAGAAGAGGAAAGUGGAAUUCCAUGUGUAGCGGUGAAAUGCGCAGAGAUAUGGAGGAACACCAGCGGCGAAGGCGACUUUCUGGUCUGUAACUGACGCUGAUGUGCGAAAGCGU